rnacentral:ncRNA from 1 species
AGGCACCUACGGGGGCCUAUACCACCUGCCACCUUCGGGGGGCUUACAUCGCGGGGGAUGGCCAUCGGGCCGAACUCGCACUGCUAGAAACGGAAGACAGUAA